rnacentral:rRNA from 1 species
GUAGGUGGCGAGCGUUGUCCGGAAUUAUUGGGCGUAAAGCGCGCGCAGGCGGUUCUUUAAGUCUGAUGUGAAAGCCCACGGCUCAACCGUGGAGGGUCAUUGGAAACUGGAGAACUUGAGUACAGAAGAGGAAAGCGGAAUUCCACGUGUAGCGGUGAAAUGCGUAGAGAUGUGGAGGAACACCAGUGGCGAAGGCGGCUUUCUGGUCUGUAACUGACGCUGAGGCGCGAAAGCGUGGGGAGCAAACAGGAUUAGAUACCCUGGUAGUCCACGCCGUAAACGAUGAGUGCUAAGUGUUAGGGGGGUUUUCCGCCCCCCUUAGUGCUGCAGCUAACGCAUUAAGCACUCCGCCUGGGGUACGGCCGCAAGGCUG